rnacentral:rRNA from 1 species
AAACCAGCACCUCAAGUGGUCAGGAUGAUUAUUGGGCCUAAAGCAUCCGUAGCCGGCUCUGUAAGUUUUCGGUUAAAUCUGUACGCUUAACGUACAGGCUGCUGGGAAUACUGCAGAGCUAGGGAGUGGGAGAGGUAGACGGUACUCGGGAGGAAGUGGUAAAAUGCUUUGAUCUCUCGAUGACCACCUGUGGCGAAGGCGGUCUACCAGAACACGUCCGACGGUGAGGGAUGAAAGCUGGAGGAGCAAACCGGAUUAGAAACCCCGGUAGUCC